GCCUGGGACGAAUACUUACGGGGGUAGAGCUCUGAUAUGGCUAGGGGGUCAUCCCGACUUACCAACCCUUUGCAAACUCCGAAUACCGUAAAGUACUAUCCGGGAGACACACGGUGGGUGCUAACGUCCAUCGUGGAGAGGGAAACACCCCAGCCCGUCAGCUAAGGUCCCAAAGUGUAUGUUAAGUGGGAAACGAUGUGGGAAGGCUAAAACAGCUAGGAGGUUGGCUUAGAAGCAGCCAUCCUUUAAAGAAAGCGUAAUAGCUCACUAGUCGAGUCGGCCUGCGCGGAAGAUGUAACGGGGCUAAACAUACCACCGAAGCUACGGCUGCAUACUUUGUAUGCGGGGUAGGGGAGCGUUCUGUAAGUGGCUGAAGGUGUGCCGGGAGGCAUGCUGGACAUAUCAGAAGUG
rnacentral:rRNA from 1 species